rnacentral:lncRNA from 1 species
UAAUUUACUAUUUAAACAGUUAUUUAGAUGGGACAGCAUAAUGCCCAAUAUCCGAAAUUCCAAUUUUCGACACAGAACUAAAGUAAAUGCCCUAUCUCUGCACAGUGAAAGAAGCUGCCUCAGUGAAAUGCGUGAACAGUGCGACCACCUCUGUAAUUUCUUUGCUCACACGUGGCCUCGCUUUGUUGUGUCUACCAGCUUUGCACCAUAUAUACAGUAGAUGCUAAAUAUGAGCUGUUAAGGAAGAACAACACUUUAUCUUUACCAAGAGCCAAGUAGCCAUGUGUAUGUUAUUCAUCUAAAAAUUUUUAACUCUGAAAUGCAUUUGUGUAAAUUUUUUGCUGGAUCAAUUUAUGUAUUCGCAUGUCACCUAUGUGUGCAAGUGUCCUGUUUUCUUGCCUUUACAGAAAGCGCGUUGGAAAAAAUUUGGUGGGAUAAGCUUGCCAGACACGCUCAAGAGAAUAAUAAGAGACAUGCUCUAGGAUGAGGUGGCUACAAACUACAGUUGGCAAGGUGCCAAAGGAAAGUUACACUUCAGUAAGACAGCAUGCUGCCAAAUCCUGCUUGAAAUCGCUGCUGCCAGCCCACAGUCCCUUGGUAGGACAACUUCUGACAUUGAACAAGUCAUAAAAUCGUGGCUGGGGCAUUCCAAGGAACGCCUAUUGAAGAAAAAAGGGACGUCAGUGCCUGAAAAGUCACCUCCAAGGCAUCAACAAGACAUUGAAGCUUUAGAUGGACACGACCCGACUGAGUGCGACACUCGCUAAAGGCGUGCAUGUCAUGUACUGUCGAUAUAUUUAUUUAUUUUAUUUAUUUAUUGAAUACUGCAGACCAAGAAUCGGUCCAAGCAGGACAGGUACAAGAGGCAAGUUAUAUAAUAUCACAUGUUCUUUUUACGUUUGUGUGUUUUUACAUUUACGCUCUUACAUUUGUGUCCUCUGCUGUACAUGCCGAUACAUAUUUUUUUAGAUUUCAAUUUUAGCUUA